rnacentral:rRNA from 1 species
CAGGCUUAACACAUGCAAGUCGAGGGGCAGCAUUUUAGUUUGCUUGCAAACUAAAGAUGGCGACCGGCGCACGGGUGAGUAACACGUAUCCAACCUGCCGAUAACUCGGGGAUAGCCUUUCGAAAGAAAGAUUAAUAUCCGAUGGUAUAUUAAAACCGCAUGGUUUUACUAUUAAAGAAUUUCGGUUAUCGAUGGGGAUGCGUUCCAUUAGUUUGUUGGCGGGGUAACGGCCCACCAAGACUACGAUGGAUAGGGGUUCUGAGAGGAAGGUCCCCCACAUUGGAACUGAGACACGGUCCAAACUCCUACGGGAGGCAGCAGUGAGGAAUAUUGGUCAAUGGACGAGAGUCUGAGCCAGCCAAGUAGCGUGAAGGAUGACUGCCCUAUGGGUUGUAAACUUCUUUUAUAUGGGAAUAAAGUAUUCCACGUGUGGGAUUUUGUAUGUACCAUAUGAAUAAGGAUCGGCUAACUCCGUGCCAGCAGCCGCGGUAAUACGGAGGAUCCGAGCGUUAUCCGGAUUUAUUGGGUUUAAAGGGAGCGUAGGUGGAUUGUUAAGUCAGUUGUGAAAGUUUGCGGCUCAACCGUAAAAUUGCAGUUGAAACUGGCAGUCUUGAGUACAGUAGAGGUGGGCGGAAUUCGUGGUGUAGCGGUGAAAUGCUUAGAUAUCACGAAGAA